rnacentral:rRNA from 1 species
AGCGGCGAACGGGUGAGUAACAUGUGGGUAAUCUGCCCUCGGCACCGGGAUAGCCCGGGGAAACCCGGAUUAAUACCGGAUGGCCUUUCGAGUCCUCGGACUCGAAUGAAAAGGUAGCUUCGGCCUCCGGCCGAGGAUGAGCCCGCGGCCGAUUAGCUUGUUGGUGAGGUAACGGCUCACCAAGGCUGCAAUCGGUAGCUGGUCUGAGAGGACGAUCAGCCACACUGGGACUGAGACACGGCCCAGACUCCUACGGGAGGCAGCAGUGGGGAAUCUUGCGCAAUGGGCGAAAGCCUGACGCAGCGACGCCGUGUGCGGGAAGAAGGCCUUCGGGUUGUAAACCGUUUCAGGAGGGACGAAGCCA